CCGUGUGCUCACCGGGGAUAGCGUCGACGGCACUUGGGCCUGCUUUACAGAAGGGGAACGCGGCGAGUCGAGCGAAGAGAAGAGAGAAGGGGAAGAGAGCGGGGGUUGGGUGUUAGGGUUUUGGGCGUGGACCGAUGGCGCCGACGAAACCGGCCUCGAAUGAGAAAUCGUCCGAAUUUUUUCGUAACUACGGCUGGGAUGUGAUUCUAGGAACCAUCGCUUCUUUCUAUGUAAUCAUGAUUCCUUACACCAAGGUUGAAGAGAGUUUCAACGUUCAGGCAAUGCAUGAUAUGCUUUACCACCACCAUCACAUUAACAAUCAGUAUGACCAUUUGGAUUUUCCUGGUGUUGUUCCUCGCACUUUUAUGGGUGCACUUCUUGCAUCGAUUUUGGCAUCACCAGUGGUGUUCCUUAUGCAUUGUUUGCACAUGCCAAAGAUUUACAGUCUCUUUGCAGUUAGACUGGUGUUAGGUUGCAUCAUAUUGUCGACGCUACGAUUUUUUCGCAUUCAGGUUAGAAGAAAGUUUGGCUAUCAUGUUGAAGCAUUCUUUGUCAUUUUAACGGCUGUGCAGUUUCACUUGUUGUUCUACUCAACACGCCCUCUUCCAAAUAUAUUAGCUUUUGGUUUGGUUAACUUGGCGUAUUCUUUCUGGUUUAAGGGAAAUGCCUUGGCGACUUUGAAAUGCUUGACCUUUGCUACAAUUGUAUUUAGGUGUGAUACACUGCUUCUCUUUGCACCAAUCGGCAUUGAACUUCUGCUGAGCAAAUCUAUUUCACUAUGGAGGGCAAUGAAAUGCUGCAUAGCCACUGCCCUUCUAUCCAUAUGCUUUACAGUACUUCUUGAUACAGUAAUGUGGCAGAGAAUCGUGUGGCCAGAACUGGAAGUUUUUUGGUUUAACUCCAUUUUAAAUCGGAGUUCAGAAUGGGGUACACAUCCAUUCCAUUGGUACUUCACUUCGGCUCUUCCUCGCUCCUUGCUUGUAGCAUAUCCUCUAUGCAUGGCAGGAAUGCUACUUGACAGAAGGAUUUUGCGGUACAUUGUUCCAGUUCUUUCAUUUGUUUUACUUUACUCAAAACUUCCACACAAGGAGCUUCGCUUUGUAAUUAGUUCAGUUCCAGUUUUCAACGUUUCAGCAGCAAUUACAGCUAGCAGAAUAUAUAUCAAUAGGAAGAAGAAUGUUUGGAGGGAACUUUAUGUUAUGAUGCUUGGGUCUUUGCUGAUCAGUCUAGGAUGCUCUAUCAUGACAUUCAUGGCAUCCUAUGACAACUAUCCAGGUGCUUAUGCUUUAAGGGCUCUACAUGAAAAAGGUGCUUCUAAUUGUACGGUGGAGAAGUGGGUCCAUAUUGAUGCUUUCACAGCAAUGAAUGGAGUCUCUCGUUUUUCUGAAAAUAAGUACCCUUGGAGAUGACUAAACUGACCUUCAUGUUGAAGACAGUAGGUUCAUAAUCACAAACAUCAUCAUCUAGUCAUGCAGGUUUGCAUGCCUGGAAUGGAUUGCAUUGCCUCGGCGUAAACCAUCAUGUUGGACUAUUAUACUCAAAAGAAGAAGGGAUUGCCUUGGAAGAAUAUCGUUUCAGAAAUUUCACCUACCUGCUCAAUGAACAUUCUUACAUUGAUGGUUUCAAGUGCUUAUUCGCGGUGAAUGGAUUCUACAAAGCACGACUACAGGCUGGCUUUCCGCCAAUUGUCUUGUUAAAGGAGCCAAAAGUAUUUGUCCAUGGGAAUGCAAGAGACCAAGAUAUUAUUGUGUCAGCCUGGCCGGGUUGUCCAUAGGGUUGUGUCAAGGAAUCAUAUCUUGCUGAUAGAAAAACUUGCCACUCUGCGGAGCAAUUGCACAAGCAUGAGGUAGUUGAGAACAGCAAUUGCAAGGUGAUAACUUGUGUUGUUCAUCUUGAGCGAAUGAAUUGCCCUUAUAAGUUAGCACUCAUAAGAUGCGAUCUUGUGGAUUUAUCACUUAGGGGGCAUGUGAUUAUUUAUUAACAGAAUUGAAUCAUCAAUGUUUUAUAGUGUAUUCAUUUUGGCUUAUAAUAUAUGAAAUUAGUUCCUAUUAGAUUCUGCAAAUAACUUGUUUAAGUAGUUACAUAAACAACAAUUUCAAUGAGGAAGCAAAAUAGUCUGAGAAUUAUUAUUUCGUGUGCCAGUGUGGCUCAAACUGUCAAUGUUUCCCCUUGAUUUUAAGAAGGUCAAAGGAUAGUUGUCCUAUAUGCAACAAGUGUAUGGUUCUAAAUUUGUCAAUGCUAAAGAUGGAACACUUUCCUUUUCCUUUU